rnacentral:rRNA from 1 species
UGGGGAAUUUUGGACAAUGGGCGAAAGCCUGAUCCAGCAAUGCAGCGUGUGUGAAGAAGGCCUUCGGGUUGUAAAGCACUUUUGUCCGGAAAGAAAUCCUUGGCUCUAAUACAGUCGGGGGAUGACGGUACCGGAAGAAUAAGCACCGGCUAACUACGUGCCAGCAGCCGCGGUAAUACGUAGGGUGCAAGCGUUAAUCGGAAUUACUGGGCGUAAAGCGUGCGCAGGCGGUUUGCUAAGACCGAUGUGAAAUCCCCGGGCUCAACCUGGGAACUGCAUUGGUGACUGGCAGGCUAGAGUAUGGCAGAGGGGGGUAGAAUUCCACGUGUAGCAGUGAAAUGCGUAGAGAUGUGGAGGAAUACCGAUGGCGAAGGCAGCCCCCUGGGCCAAUACUGACGCUCAUGCACGAAAGCGUGGGGAGCAAACAGGAUUAGAUACCCUGGUAGUCCACGCCCUAAACGAUGUCAACUAGUUGUUGGGGAUUCAUUUCCUUAGUAACGUAGCUAACGCGUGAAGUUGACCGCCUGGGGAGUACGGUCGCAAGAUUAAAACUCAAAUGAAUUGACGGGGUCAUAGCUGUUUCCU